AGCGAACGCUGGCGGCAGGCCUAACACAUGCAAGUCGAACGAACCUUUCGGGGUUAGUGGCGGACGGGUGAGUAACACGUGGGAACGUGCCUUUAGGUUCGGAAUAACUCAGGGAAACUUGUGCUAAUACCGAAUGUGCCCUUCGGGGGAAAGAUUAAUCGCCUUUAGAGCGGCCCGCGUCUGAUUAGCUAGUUGGUUGAGGUAAUGGCUCACCAAGGCGACGAUCAGUAGCUGGUCUGAGAGGAUGAUCAGCCACAUUGGGACUGAGACACGGCCCAAACUCCUACGGGAGGCAGCAGUGGGUAAUCUUGCGCAAUGGGCGAAAGCCUGACGCUGCCAUGCCUCGUGAAUGAUGAAGGUCUUAGGAUUGUAAAAUUCUUUCACCGGGGACGAUAAUGACGGUACCCGGAGAAGAAGCCCCGGCUAACUUCGUG
rnacentral:rRNA from 1 species